GACGAACGCUGGCGGCGUGCCUAAUACAUGCAAGUAGAACGCACAGUUUAUACCGUAGCUUGCUACACCAUAGACUGUGAGUUGCGAACGGGUGAGUAACGCGUAGGUAACCUGCCUGGUAGCGGGGGAUAACUAUUGGAAACGAUAGCUAAUACCGCAUAAUAUUAAUUAUUGCAUGAUAAUUAAUUGAAAGGUGCAAUUGCACCACUACCAGAUGGACCUGCGUUGUAUUAGCUAGUAGGUGAGGUAACGGCUCACCUAGGCGACGAUACAUAGCCGACCUGAGAGGGUGAUCGGCCACACUGGGACUGAGACACGGCACAGACUCCUACGGGAGGCAGCAGUAGGGAAUCUUCGGCAAUGGACGAAAGUCUGACCGAGAAACGCCGCGUGAGUGAAGAAGGUUGUCGGAUCGUAAAGCUCUGUUGUAAGAGAAGAACGGGUGUGAGAGUGGAAAGUUCACACUGUGACGGUAUCUUACCAGAAAGGGACGGCUAACUACGUG
rnacentral:rRNA from 1 species